rnacentral:misc_RNA from 1 species
GGGCGGUCAAGUAGCCACAUUACAAUUAAUAAGGCCAUGUAAGCACUAUAAGAGAAUGAUUCUUGCUGCGCUCUAUGCUUCAGCAGCAUAGAGUGCUUUGAUUUCCUCAACAUCAUCAUAGCUUCCUAGAAAUAUUGGAGAUCGCUGAUGUAUCUUCUCUGGAACCAAGUCAAGUGCCUUUUGCUUGCCAGUAAAAGAUUGACCUCCUGCUUGUUCCAUCAAAAAUGACAUUGGAAAGACUUCAUACAGCACACGCAGUUUCCCAUUGGGACUCUUCUUAUCUGCAGGGUACAAAAAUAUUCCCCCAUAGAGUAAUGUGCGAUGCACAUCAGCCACCAUGCUUCCAACGUAUCUCAGAGACUUUGGUGAGGAACCAUCCUCAGGGAACUUGCAUUUUUCCACAUACUUGGCUGUUGGAGCAUCCCAGUUCUUAGCAUUUCCUUCAUUUACUGAAUAAAUCUUUCCUUUCUUUGGAAUCUUAAUAUCAGGGUGAGUAAGUAUGAACUCCCCAAGGGAUGGAUCAAGGGUGAAACCAUUAACACCACUUCCAGUACUCAACACAAGCAUGCAAGAGCUUCCAUACAUGCAAUAGCCAGCUGCUACCAUAUUUUUCCCAGGUUGCAAAACAUCAUCUAGAGUUGGUUCACGGCCAUGUUUCACCAUGUAAAUCCCAAAGAUCGUUCCAAUAGAAACACCACAGUCAAUGUUGGAGGAUCCAUCCAAUGGAUCAAAAACAACACAGUACUUUCCACGCUUGUCAGGCUCCACAAAUAUUGCCUCCUCAUCUUCUUCAGAGACAAGUAUGCAUGUUCGGCCACUGCUUACUAAAGCCUUGAUGAAUACUUCAUUUGAAAGNNNNUUUUGCUCUUCACCCUGAACAUUUGUCUCCCCAGCAAGUCCAAUAAGCUUGGCAAGACCCGCCUUGUUAACAGCAGAGCAAACGAAUUUGCAGCCAAGAACAAUAUGAUUGAGCAAGAUAGUGAAAUCCCCACGCGAACCUGGGUGCUUUGAUUGUUCAUUCAGUACAAACCUCAUUAUCGUCAUCAAAUCGGUCCGGUGGGCAUCUGCCGCGUGAUCCAUCUCUCCCUCUCCCUGCGUCUCUCUCUCUCUCUCUCUCUCUCUCUCUCUCUCACGCACACCCCACCCAAAAACCACUACAAGAAAACCAUAAAAAUAUAAGCUUUGCGAGUGGAAUUAUAAGAGCAUAAAAAGGAUUAGCAGAGGUGAGAUUCGCUGGAUUCGAGGAGCAGCCAGCUCUUGCAGUGGAUACAUACGAAAGCG